rnacentral:rRNA from 1 species
UACGGGGGGAGCAAGCGUUGUUCGGAUUUACUGGGCGUAAAGGGCGCGUAGGCGGUCAGCACAGUCAGUUGUGAAAUCUCCGGGCUUAACUCGGAAAGGUCAACUGAUACUGUGCGACUAGAGUGCAGAAGGGGCAACUGGAAUUCUCGGUGUAGCGGUGAAAUGCGUAGAUAUCGAGAGGAACACCUGCGGCGAAGGCGGGUUGCUGGGCUGACACUGACGCUGAUGCGCGAAAGCCAGGGGAGCGAACGGG